AUUGCUUCUUGGCCUUUUGGCUAAGAUCAAAAGUAGUAUCUGUUCUGUUCAGCUUAAUAAAUUUAUAGCAGGAUUAUCUCCAAAAUCUCAUCUAAACAUGUUCUUUCUUAAACUACUCCAAUCACUAACUCAUU
ensembl:snRNA U2 U2 spliceosomal RNA